GGGGAGAGGGAAGAUGGAGAGUCGAGGGACUGUCGCUGGCACUCUUCGUUCGGAGUGUGCAUGUGCACGUCUCUCAUCUUGACAUCGACCUUUUACCCAUCCACACCCCUUCACACCUGUGCACCUUUUGUAGGUCCUCGAAAGAGGAUCUAUGUCUUUAUCAUAUCACACCCGCCGUAUGUCUAGAAUGUCAUAAUAAAAUACAACUUUCAGCAACGGAUCUCUUGGCUCUCGCAUCGAUGAAGAACGCAGCGAAUUGCGAUAAGUAAUGUGAAUUGCAGAUUUCCAGUGAAUCAUCGAAUCUUUGAACGCACCUUGCGCUCCUUGGUAUUCCGAGGAGCAUGCCUGUUUGAGUGUCAUGUAACUAUCAACCAUGUCUCGACUGACUUUGAGCACAUGGCUUGGAUGUGGGGGUUGCUGGCUGCGAAAGCGGUCGGCUCUCCUUAAACGCAUUAGCAAAGGGGUGUGCUAUGGUCUUCUGGACGUGCACGGCCUUCGACGUGAUAAUGAUCGUCGUGGCUGGAGCGUCCGUCAUAGACCAUGCAUAGACAAGCCUCGAUUUGCUUCUAAUUCCAAGAUCCUCUAAUCUCAGUGGUGGUCGGGGGGAGGUCUUGCUAGCUAUUAGUCUACUAGCCUACUAGCCUACUAGUCCGUGUGCACGCAUAUGGACGAACGGCGAACAGUGAACGGCGAACGUUGACAAGGCUGACGACGACAAAGCUAGACUUGGGGAUCGUAUUCAUNGACUCGACCUCAAUC
rnacentral:sRNA from 1 species